CCCCAUGUAUGUAAAUUCGAAGAUCAAGUUAAAAGGAAAAAAGAUUUUGAGACUAAACUAUAAGAUAACACAGUUCUAGGACCAAAAUGGUAAUUAGCCCAAUUUUUUUAUUUGAAAUAAUUCUGCAAUAAUUCAUUGACAUGCUUGCAGGUGCGAUGUGUAUAGUUUUGGCGUCAUAUUGUGGGAGUUAGCUACCUCAUGUAUCCCAUGGAGAGGUUUGAAUCCAAUGCAGGUGGUUGGAGCAGUUGGCUUCCAAAAUAGGCGUCUUGAAAUUCCUGAGGAUGUGGAUCCAGGAGUUGCACAGAUAAUACGUGAAUGCUGGCAAACGGAGCCACAUUUGCGCCCUUCUUUUACGCAACUUAUGUACCGAAUCCGACGUCUUCAGCGUCUACUUGUUGAUAGAACAAACUUCAGAAAUCAAACUUCAGAGCAAUUGGAGUAAUAAGAGUGUAAGAAUAAUAGUUACAGAGUUGUUUCUCGGUUCGAAGAGCCAGAUCAACAAGAUUUUUUUUUCCCUCCUGUUUUGUUGCAAAGGAAGUUGAAGAAAAUACUGGAUUGGAAAGUGUGGGUUCAGUCGAAGUGGGGACUCAACACAUCCCAUUCAGAAAAGUGGAGAUCCUCUUUAGUCAAAGCAGCUGCACAAGAGCAGUUAAGGGGAUGCCACCUAAUGUUGUUGGUAUGAAAUUGUUGAUCAGUUUAAAUGUAAGAAAAAAAAAAAAAGGAAACAAAAGAAAGAGGAAAAGGAAACAAAAAGAAAAAACAAAGACAAAUAAUGACCAUUCACAUUACAGUUUGAGGUCUUAUUUGGGGUAAAAGCCAAUCCCAGUUCUAGAAUUGUAAACAUGUGAUCUCUGCAAGUUAUUGUGAAAAAAGAAAAAAGAAAUAUUUGCAUACAGUAUUUUCUCAACAUAUUACAAAAGAAAUUGGGUAGAGUUUAUAUCUA